GUGGGUGUGUGCAUUGGCACCAAGCUGCAAUAGGAUUUUCCCCUGGAUAGUCUGGUCUGGAGCUGGGAUAGCAGCUGCUGCUGUGGAAAGACCAGCUGGCAAGAUGAUGGAAGAAAUCUCCAUUAUGGUAGCCUAUGACGCCCAUGUUUUCAGCCAGCUGCACGACGAAGACUUCCUCACUAGUCUGGUGGCCAUCAGCAAGCCCAGGUCUAUGGUACCGACCAAGAAGCUAAAGAAAUAUGAGAAAGAAUAUCAGACAAUGCGAGAGAGUCAGCUGCAGCAGGAAGACCCAAUGGAUAGAUACAAGAGGGAGAACCGGAGACUACAGGAGGCCAGCAUGAGGUUGGAACAAGAGAAUGAUGACCUUGCUCAUGAACUAGUAACCAGCAAGAUUGCUCUGCGGAAUGACUUGGAUCAAGCAGAAGACAAGGCAGACGUGCUGAAUAAAGAGCUUCUUUUGACCAAGCAGAGGCUAGUGGAGACCGAAGAAGAGAAGAGGAAGCAGGAGGAAGAGACGGCCCAGCUAAAAGAAGUCUUCAGGAAACAGCUAGAGAAGGCGGAAUAUGAAAUCAAGAAGACUACAGCUAUCAUUGCCGAGUAUAAACAGAUCUGUUCCCAGUUGAGUACCCGGCUGGAGAAACAGCAAGCAGCCAGCAAGGAGGAGCUGGAAGUGGUAAAGGGUAAGAUGAUGGCAUGUAAACACUGCAGUGACAUUUUCAGCAAGGAGGGCGCUUUGAAAGUAGCGGCCAUAAGCAGAGAGGACCAGGGGAUUGAAUCGGAUGAUGAGAAGGACUCUCUUAAGAAGCAACUGAGGGAGAUGGAGCUGGAAUUGGCACAAACCAAACUGCAGCUGGUGGAGGCCAAGUGUAAAAUCCAGGAACUUGAACAUCAGAGAGGAGCCCUUAUGAAUGAAAUCCAAGCUGCAAAAAACUCUUGGUUUAGCAAAACCCUGAACUCUAUCAAAACGGCCACGGGCACGCAGCCGCUGCAGCCACCACAGGCCACCCAGCCCCCCAAGGAGAGCACAUAGUUCCAGCCUCACCCAAGCACAGGAGCACAACGAUCAAAGCGACGGAAACCCAGGAAGAGUCCUGGUGUCCCUUUGAAAGGAAGGGAAGGAGGCCAGAAAGCAAGCCAGGAUCUUUCAGUAGCUCUCAAUCUUUCUCGUAUGACGCUUUUCAAAGGGAUGUUAUUUAAACUAACCUGAUUUAUGUUGAAUACCUGUGUUUGUGCUUCAUGGAAGGCCGUGUUCCGAUCCGUCAUAGUAUUAUUACACAUUAUUUUAUAUGCCUGAUGUCUGGUUGGAAACAAGUAAUUCAGAGCUAAAUGCUUUUUAUUUAGAACUAAUUAUUCAUAAUUAUUUUUAUCUUACAUGAAAAUGGAGAUGUGUUUUAUUCCAAGGUUGAAUUGAUAGGAAGAUAUUUGUCACAGCAAA
rnacentral:lncRNA from 1 species